AUGGUAAUGAUUAUUAUAUCCUUCCUGAAGUAUUUACACAGAAAAGAAAUGCCAGUCACAGUGGAUAAUAUGAUCCGGCCGGAGGAUCUGGCUAAAUGGCCUCAUCUAUCAAGUGUGCGCAUCCCAAGUGUGAAGGCAGAUGUUGACCUAUUGAUUGGAACUAACGCACCCAAGGUAUUAGAACCCUGGGAGGUCAUAAAUAGCGGCCAGAAUGGCCCGUACGCUAUUAGGACAGUGCUGGGAUGGGUGGUUAAUGGCCCACUGAGUGGAAACAGUGAUGCAUCAUUAUCCUCAGCCACAGUGAACCACAUUUCUCUGCAAAGGCUCGAAGAUAUGCUUGUCAGUCAAUACAACCAUGACUUCAGUGAGAAGGCUGCAGAGGAAAAGGAAAUGUCUCGAGAUGACAUCAGAUUUAUAGAGAUCAUGGAUUCAGCAGUGCUGCAAGAUGGAAGGUACUGUUUAAAGUUUCCCUUCAAAAAAAAGGAUGUUUCUCUGCCUAAUAACCUGGUUGUGGUGAAGCAAAGGAUGCAGGGCUUAAGAAGAUGGUUCUUGAGUAAUGACGGCUUGCACCAGGAGUACGCACAGUAUGUGAAUGGCCUUAUCGAUAACACCUAUGCAGAACUUGUGCCCCAGCAGAAGCUUCAGGGUGAGCCUGGAAGAGUGUGGUACAUCCCUCACCAUGCGGUCCAUCACCCAAGGAAAGGAACACUUCGGGUUGUGUUCGAUUGUGGAGCCACUUUUCAAGGAGCAUCCUUGAAUAAGGAGCUGCUUCAGGGCCCUAACCUCACCAGCUCGCUGCUUGGGGUCCUGUUUUGUUUCAGAGAGGAACCUGUAGCAUUUAUGGGUGAUAUAAAAGCCAUGUUCCACCAGGUAAAAGUAGCAGAAGAAGAUCGUGACUUUCUCCGUUUUCUCUGGUGGCCAAACGGAGAUAUUACCCAGGACUUGAUGGAGCACAGGAUGAUAGUUCGCUUGUUUGGUGCUGUGUCCUCUCCCAGUUGUGCAAGCUAUGCGCUGAGAAAAGGUGCCGAUGAUCAUCAGUUUGAGUUUGCUGCCAAUGUAUGUCAAGCUGUCAAGAAAAACUUUUAUGUGGAUGACAUUUUGAAGAGCUCUGCCACUGAAGGGGAUGCUAUACAGAUGAUCCAAGACCUAACUUUACUGUGUCAGAAGGGAGGUUUUGUCUUGGAGAAGUGGAUUAGCAACAGCCGCGCCGUCUUGCAUGCCAUUGCUACAGAGCGUAGGGCUAAGGAUUUAAAGGAAUUGGAUCUUGAUCGGGACAAGCUGCCAGUGGAGACAGCUCUGGGUCUAUUUUGGUCUGUAGAAACAGACUCCUUCAAAUUUAAGAUCAAAGUAAGGCAACGGCCACUUACCAGAUGUGGUAUGCUGUCAACCAUCUGCUCAGUGUAUGACCCCCUAGGCUUCCUGGCACCAACACUGGCUGCAAAAGUGAUGCAGCAGGAAUUAUGUCGAAGAAGAUGUGCAUGGGAUGAUGCCUUACCAUCUGACAGCUAA
rnacentral:lncRNA from 1 species